rnacentral:siRNA from 1 species
UACAAACCGAGACCUUGUGCUUCU